GGGGAGGGAUGCUUGCUCCUGCCUGCGGCGGACGGGUGAGUAUGCUAGGAAUCUGCCUAUAGUGGGGGACAAACAUUCCGAAAGGAAAUGCUAUACCGCAUACGCCCUACGGGGGAAAGCAGGGGAUCUUCGGACCUUGCGCUAAUAGAUGAGCCUAAGUCAGAUUAGCUAGUUGGUGGGGUAAGGCCUCCAAGGCGACGAUCUGUAGCGGGUCUGAAGAGGAUGAUCCGCACACUGGGACUGAGACACGGCCCAGACUCCUACGGGAGGCAGCAGUGGGGAAUAUUGGACAAUGGGCGAAAGCCUGAUUCAUUGCAUGCCGCGUGUGUGAAGAAGGCCUUUUGGGUUGUAAAGCACUUUAAGCGAGGAGGAGGCUCUGAAAUAAUACUCUUGGAUAGUGACCGUACUCCAGAAUAACACCGGCUACUCUGUGCAACAGCCGGGUAUCAGAGGUGCAGCGUAAUCGAUUUACUGGCGUAACGUCGUAGCGCUUUUAAUCG
rnacentral:rRNA from 1 species